rnacentral:pre_miRNA from 1 species
ACAUGAUCCCGGGGAACCUAGCCCGAGGACGACCUCAAGGACGUCCUCGGGCUAGGUUCCCCGGGAACCUAG